rnacentral:rRNA from 1 species
UAGGGAAUCUUCCACAAUGGACGCAAGUCUGAUGGAGCAACGCCGCGUGAGUGAAGAAGGUUUUCGGAUCGUAAAGCUCUGUUGUUGGUGAAGAAGGAUAGAGGCAGUAACUGGUCUUUAUUUGACGGUAAUCAACCAGAAAGUCACGGCUAACUACGUGCCAGCAGCCGCGGUAAUACGUAGGUGGCAAGCGUUGUCCGGAUUUAUUGGGCGUAAAGCGAGCGCAGGCGGGAUGAUUAGUCUGAUGUGAAAGCCCACGGCUCAACCGUGGAACUGCAUCGGAAACUGUAAUUCUUGAGUGCAGAAGGGGAGAGUGGAAUUCCAUGUGUAGCGGUGGAAUGCGUAGAUAUAUGGAAGAGCACCAGAGGCGAGGGCGGCUCUCUGGUCUGCAACUGACGCUGAGGCUCGAAAGCAUGGGUAGCGAACAGG